rnacentral:lncRNA from 1 species
GGUCUCUGCACAUAGCCCCACCACCUCUUCCUUCCCUCCCCCCCUCCUUCCUCUCGGACAGCUUUGCUCCACCAGUUCCGCGCUGUGUCGGCCUAGAGAGGAGUAAGGGAGUGAAAGAGGAGCGAGAAGAGAGGAUUUGGUGAACCGAGGAGAGACUGACAGGGGAGCGGGACCAUGGCUGCUCUCUCUGCUUUGCUGAAGACCUGGGUUUUAUUGCAGACCUUGUGCCUGGCUCUGGCCCAAGUGAGGGGCCCACCUGGGCCUCAGGGGCAGCCCGGCCCACCAGGUCCCUCUGGCACUCCUGGAUCAGAUGGCAUUGAUGGAGAAAAGGGACCACCUGGACCCCCUGGUGCACCAGGACCUAAAGGAGAGCCAGGAGAACCAGGUACCGAUGGAGCACCAGGAGAGAAUGGCAUUGAUGUAAGUAAACAGGGUUGUGUGUUUGUUUGUGUGUGUGAAACGCACAAAGUGAGAGAGCAAGUAAGAGAGUAAAAUGAUAAAAAAAAAAAUGCUUC